GGGGGUGGGGCGGGCCGGGGGAGCGGGGCCCGAACACCUGCCGGCCUAGCGGCCGAGCAGCGGGGAUGUUUAGACGAUCUUCCAGCAAUGCGACCGAGGCUCCCCCGGCUUUCUUGCGUUGGUGCCUUGGCAGGGCUGGGGGCGGCCAGCUAGGGGCCCCUUGCCUAUGAGGUCUGCUGACCCAGAAACUUUGCUACGAGCUUCCAGCCAAGGACCAAGCUGAGGCCGACUUUGGGAACGGCAGCACCGUGGUAAAGAGGCACAGCCUGUCGUCUGGCAGGGUCAGCCGCUCAGCCAGUCUGUCUUCUUAUCCACUCAGCCGGUCCUUGUGGAUCAUCUCCUUUACGGACCCUGUGUUAGAAAGAAGGGGAAUUGCUUUGUCGAGGACUGUCAGAGAGUGCCAAGAGCUUCUUGAUCUUAGACUGCGCGGAUGGGUUUUUUUGUACCUGAUGUGUACAAAGUUCCCUGCCAGCUCUUGCCAAGAAUUCAAAGGAGUAAGAAUAAUUGAUCAUAUAGCCAUCAUUGAAGCAGCGCCAGACACUGUGCUAAGAGCUUCAUAUGCAUUACCCCAGCGCUCCUGUUCUCGAGGAACUACUGUCGUCUAGAGAAGGAAUAAAGCAAGUCUAGUGUCAAGCAGCGCAGCAGCGUCUCUGAUCCGAAGUGAAAGCAAGAACCCAGGCGGCUCCCGGCUGGAGGAGAAAGUCCAUUCGGCCUGAGCUGCCUCCAGCCUCUCUUCACGACUACCGCCCAUGCUUCAUGAUCACUGCACACAUGGCCUGCAGGUGGGUUCACCCAGCCCGGGCUGAUCACGAUUUUCCCAAACACAGAACAAACGCUCCCCACUCUCUACUCUCUCUGGCAGAGGGUUCCCUUGUUUGGAAUGGCCUCUUCUGCCUACCCCAACCCUCCCCAUCCCAAAGGCAUGGCUUGGACUCCCCUCCUCCAUGAAGCCUUCCCCACUGCAAUUGCCACCUUGUCCUGUGAACACAUGGUGCCAGCGUUCCCAUAAUCCACCGACCUCAUGACA
ensembl:lncRNA novel transcript